CCACCAUGGCUGAAAUAAAUGUCAUCAAACACCCAAAUUCUGAUGAAAAAACUUACAAACAGGGCUGCAUCUUUUGCGUAAUUGCUCAAAAGGAUGAUCCAGAGACAACCAUAUUAUACGAGGAUGAAGACGUUGUGGUCUUCCAGGACAUUAAGCCAGCUGCACCGCAUCACUAUUUGGCCAUCCCAAAAACUCACAUACGAGAUGCCAAACAAUUGAACAGAAGUCAUAUACCACUUGUUGAACAUCUUGUGCGUGCUGGAAAACAGGUGCUUGAAGAACAGGGAGGGAAUACAGAAGAUGUGAGGAUGGGUUUCAUUUGGCCGCCGUUCAACCUUGUGGGUCAUCUUCACCUGCAUAUUUUGGCACCAGAGUCCUCACUCAGACUCCUGCCCAGAAUCUUGUAUAGUUCAUGGUUGUUCUCAGAUACUUGGUUUUCAUUGGCCACCCUUUAACACCGUGUAUCAUCUCCACCUGCAUGUGAUAUGGCCGCCUGAUCGUAUCAAGUGCCACCUUCGAGAAUUCAGAGUUUAUAAGCCAGGGACAGCUUGGUUCAAAAGUAUUGACUGGAUGAUGGAUAGAUUACACGCAAUGCCAGAUGAACCAGUCUCAUGAUGUUGUCAGUUCUGAUAGACAAAAGACAAUGCCAGAUGAACCAGUCUCAUGAUGUCGUCAGUUCUGAUAGACAAAAGACAAUGCCAGAUGAAUCAGUCUCAUGAUGUCAUCAGUUCUGAUAGACAAAAGACAAUGCCAGAUGAAUCAGUCUCAUGAUGUCAUCAGUUCUGAUAGACAAAAGACAAUGCCAGAUGAAACAGUCUCAUGAUGUCAUCAGUUCUGAUAGACAAAUGACAAUGCCAGAUGAAGGAGCCUCAUGAUGUCGUCAGGCCAAGCAAUGCGCGAUAAAUUACCCCGAUGAUGUCAUCUGUUCCAAUAGACAAAAGACAAUGCCCGAUGCACCAGUUUACCAAAUGUCAUCCAUUCUGAAUUGGGUUGUUGUGCUAAUAGGGUCUUGCCAAUGA